rnacentral:lncRNA from 1 species
UGAAAAAGAAAAGAGGAAGAUGCCAACUCACUGCAAAUAUUUGAAGAGAUUUGUCAGUGUAAUGAUCAACUUGUUUUUCUUUCUUAACAUCCAUCUCCAGAAGGGACAGAAUAAGAAAAUAGCUUAAGUUAUAGAAAAAAAAUUUGAAUUAGCAUUCUAAAAAAACAUUAUCUAUAUGUAGAGACCAAGAAUAUGAGACUUCAUUUGUGCUUAAUGCUAAAAUAAGGCAAAAAAAUGUAGAAGUAAUAAAUAUUUCCAGAGAGAUUAAAGAUGUUUUCUGACUUAAAGAAUAAGCUUAAGACAAAAGAUAUGAAUUAAAGGAUAUGUUAAUGUAUACUGUGUUCCUUUUCAGUCAUAUGUAAGAAGAUUAUUUUGUGCAUAUGACCAAUCAAUAAAUGAGAAUAUUAUGCUCAUAUUAAAGACAAUACCAUAAAGGAGAGAAGCCUCUCUGUUUGCCUUGCUGUAAUCUGAUGAACCGAUUGACAUGUCAGGUGAACUUUUUGAAGUCUCCUAAGAAAAGGAAAGGUAGGUAUAGGAUAAAUCUAUGUAUUAAGAUACAAAUAAUUUUUAAAAAUAUGAGCAAUUUUUCAAAUUCUAACAUGCUAUUGCUUUGUGACAGUUUUUUACUUCUGCGCUUAGUUUUGCAAUCCUUAAAAUGGAGUGAACAUUAUUGUUUUUAUAAAGUUGCUUUGCAGGUUGAAUAA